CGAGAGAGUCCACAGGCAUGAUUUGACAGGAUAAUGCCCUCACUUGAUAAAAGGAGAGACUCUCUGUCAGCUGCCCGCAUCCUCCCUGAAGCUCUGGAAUCUGACUUCAUGGAGCAUUUGAGCAGCUAAGCUUUUCCUGACCCCCUCCCUCCCACCACCACUCCCGCCUUCCCCCAGUUGCUGAGCAUAAUUGAGAAUUAAUUGCAUGUCUGCUUAUUAUUUUGCUUACUUAAUUUGGUCUAAACGUUGUUCACACUCCAGACUUAAGGCCUGGAAGUGGCUGUCUUCAGGACCUGAUCUCUCCAAGACAGGCGCUCCAGUGGAUCUGAGUUAGAUCGGUGUAUAGAUCAGAGUUCCUAAGAAGCAAUGGACAAAGACCCAGAGUCUGUGCUGGGGGCCUUGGAAGGCUCUAAACCCUGAGCAGCAGUUUACAGAAGAGGCGAACAAUAUGGAUAUGGAGACAAUCUCUGAGACUUGGGAGUGCUCUCCUGUAGGAUCCAAGACUUCUCAUCUUUCCGAUGCGAACUGAAUUAUGCUAGCAUGUCAACCAGGACAUUUCAGAGAAGCAUCGAAACGUGUUAGUAAACCUCUUACCAGAACACCCUCACUAUCGAUUUUUUUUUGUCACUAAAACACAAACCAGCAUGGGACAUUAAACAGGACCUUUGGUAUUUGGUGUUGGGAAAAUGCCCCCUUGGAUCUAGAGCUCUUUAGGAGUAAUGGCUUCCCGAAAAGAACUAUAGAGAAAAAGAAGGCAGAAUAACCCAGGUGCCUGAGCAUCUUUGAGGAGGUAAGGAAAACUCUUUACUCUUUGCUGUUUGUGAGCUCUGAAUCACCAAUUGUUUGCUAGUCAGGCUUCCCCAUUUGCCAGGAAGGAUCAAUAAUGUAAUUGGAAUGACCCUGCACUCAACUGUCCCUGCCUUCUGAUGCCCGCCUCCCCUCUCUGAUCAGAAGGCCUCCUCACUGGGGACACUGAAAGCUGAAUAGUUCAGGGACAGAGCGAGGCAUUACUGCAUUCCUGUCCAGUGAAAGGCAGACUCUCUGGAGAGCCUUUCCUCUGUUUUGUUUUGUGUGUUUUCAAGGAGUCUGGAGAGGGUGUUUAUGUCGUGGUGCACGUUCCCCAUUUGGCAUCUCGAUGGCGAAGCAGAGAGCUUUCUUGUUGUCCAUGUCCUCUGUGAUUUGAACUUGUGAUGAUUCUUCAGCUAGCUCUGUCCUUCAUCUAGAAAAUUAGUGUUGCAUUAUGAAGCCCAAAAGAGUUUUCCUAGCCACCACAUAGCAGUACGUAUAAUAACUUAAAUGUUCUACAGAAAAGGCAUUCCCCCAGCGUGGGUGAGUGGAAGAAUAGGCUCAUCAAGUUGUUCAGGCUUUGCAGAUUAGAGUUCCAGUUUCGUGAAAUCUCCCAUGGUUCAUACCUGGAAUCAGCUCCAAAACAUUUUCGAAAUUGGAACACUGAGCAUUCUCUAUGGGCUUGCAGUCAUUUCAAAAUAAUAUCCCUUAAUUAUGUGUCAUGGAUUGUUUGAUGAGUAUCUGCUGGGUUUGGCAUAUGUCAUUAGCCAUGAACAAUUGUACCUGGCUGUUUUUAAUUAUACCAGCUUUAUGCUUACAGUAGCCAUGGGAGGAAAACAAAAGAUUUUGCUGAGCGGGAGCAUUUUGCUUUUUAAAAAAUAUUUAUUUUGUUUUUGAUGCUCCUGCAGCCAAUCCACUCUUGCUAGGCAGUCCACUCUUCAGUUCAGUAUGGCCUUGAACUCAUGUCCCCCUGCCUUAGACUUUAGGGUGCUUGGGUCACACAUAUCUCCCUUUAAAGUUUUAUCUAUCUAUCUAUCUAUCUAUCUAUCUAUCUAUCUAUCUAUCUAUCUAUCUAUCUAUCUAUCUAUCUAUCUAUCUAUCAUACCUAUCUAUCUAUCUAUCUAUCUAUCUAUCUAUCUAUCUAUCCAACAUCUAUCUAUAUCUUAUCUAUCCCUAUCUACCUAUCUAUUUAUCUACCUAUUAUCUAUCAUCUAUCUACCUAUGCCCCCUCCUCCCCCUGAAAGAUUUUUUUCUUCUACAGCAGGCUAUGCUGCUCAGUCUAAUCCCCUACUUCUGCAUUUCCCCAUCCCUGGCUGCUGUUACUUUCUCCAUGAAAAAUUGUGAAAGGUCUAAGCCAAUUAAGAUCAUUUGAUUUCCUCGUCAGCAAUUGGUUCAAAGAUGUCCAUGUGACACAGUUCUACCCAAUGAGAUGUGAAAGAAGCUUGUCUGGCAUGUUUCUGGGAAUGGCUUCUUGGCUGAUGGAACUAGGUCCUUAGAAAAAUGAUCUCAGCCAGGCAGGCUGUGGUGGCACACUCCUCUAAUCUCACUGGGAGUGAGGGAGGUGGGAGAGGGGCAAGGGGCGAGGGGCAAGGGGCGAGGUGCAAGGGGCGAGGGGAGGAGAGGAUAGAGGGGAGAGGGGACAGGGGAGAGGGAGAGGGAGAGGGAGAGGGAGAGACUCUGCAUUUCCCACCCAAUAUCAAUCAGUACUGUCGAGGUCUAUGACAGUACUAACUGAGAGACUUAGCUUCUGAGAGGAACUAGUUGGUGACUACAGAGGGUACAGCUGAAAGAAGGACUCAACCGGGGUCUUUGGUCCUCCUUAG
rnacentral:lncRNA from 1 species